UACGUAGGGUGCAAGCGUUAAUCGGAAUUACUGGGCGUAAAGCGUGCGCAGGCGGUUUUGUAAGUUUGUCGUGAAAGCCCCGGUCUCAACCUGGGAAUUGCGAUGAAGACUGCAAGGCUUGAAUCUGGCAGAGGGGGGUAGAAUUCCACGUGUAGCAGUGAAAUGCGUAGAGAUGUGGAGGAACACCGAUGGCGAAGGCAGCCCCCUGGGUCAAGAUUGACGCUCAUGCACGAAAGCGUGGGGAGCAAACAGG
rnacentral:rRNA from 1 species